CAACUGCAGUGAAAGUGUUUUUUUUGGUUUUUUUUUCAGCUACGAGGUGUAGUCCGGGACGGUAUAGUUCAAUGAGUAUAAAAGAUUCUCAUUGGGUAUAGUUCUGCCGUAAAAACGAGUUCGACAUAACUAUAGCGACAUUACUUAUCUAUAAGAUAAUAAUAUUAUCUCAAGUCAUACCGUAAACGAAAUGUCUACCCGUAACCUUUCGGAUCUCUUUUUUAUGCUUCGAAACAGUGUUCUUUGUAGCAGCAAUAUAUUUAUUGACAAUUUCUCCGACAUGGAGUAAAAAUCAUCGUGAUCUAAGUGGAACUGCAUAACUUUGUUGAAAUCUGCUACACUUAAAUAUCCUCACUGAAAGCGAAAAACAAUACAUCCAUAGAAAACUAGAAGAUCAGCAUAUCCACAUUAAUUUUGAAAAUGAAUUAUCAGAAUUUGUAAAUUGUAUUGUAAUAGUUAAAGACAAUCUUAUUUUUAUAAUUGUAAAGAUACCGAUUGUCGACACAAAAGAAUACGAACUACUACAACUGGAAGCCAUCUACACAAACGGAAGCAGAAUCGAUACGAACGUGCAGUAUGUUGCAAAGAACCGAGACACAAUUUACGAACAGAAAAACGUAUGCGUUCUAUGUGGAAGCUCUCACCAACUCCAAGAUAAUCGUAUCUACAGCAUCAUAACAAACAGACAAGCGAAAUGUUCAACCGUCAAGACACAGAACCAGAUAAGGAUAAGCGAAAUAAAACCAGGAGUCAUACUAGUAGACACCAACACAACAAUCGAGAUACUCGACUCAUGUUCAGACAACCGGAUGAUAUCAACGCCCACCAUUGUGGAAACAGGCAAUUGUACGGUAAAAAUUUCAAACUUUACCUUUGGAACCAAUACAGAAACGGUAGAUCAACCAGACUACUUCUUACCACUCUUGGGAAGCAAGAUUUAAAUCGACAAAAGCAAACCAAGCAUCGAAGAGAUACACCACUCGAAUCUCGAAAAUAUCGAGGAGCUAACAAAGGUCAAAAUCCGACUAUCCCACCAAAAUGCAAUAGGAACGAUAACAUUUGCCACAUUUGUGGCGAUACUCUUGAUUCUGCUUUAUUUCCACAGGCGUAAAAAUACCAUCCAAGGUAUAGCAAUCCCCAAACUCUUACAAAAAAACAAGGAGGCAAAUCUGCAAAACCCUGAAGACAUAGAAACAUCCUUAGGAGACUUGAAGCAUCCCACAUCCAAAAUAAACGGUACCCCAGAACCGGAAGUCAAUCGAGGACGCUUGACACUUAAGGGGGGAGACGUUACGAGAGAGCUACCCUGGUAACCAGUACGAACGGAAGAACCACCCUUGCACCCAAUAAGCCACAUCGAUCGUCCACCGCGAUCGACGCACAACACAAAUGCCGACGCAGCCAAAAGCAACAUAGCAACAGCACGAAGAACCAACGCCAGCCAGGAGACACACCAACGUGGACGACGACGACAUCAAAUGCUGACUCACCAAAACCGACUAACAAAAAGGUUUCGCAAUAGGUAUCAAAAUUCAGUCUUAGUAGUGCUGUGUAACAAGCAAGUGGAAAUAUAUUUUUUUUAUUGAACGAA